rnacentral:rRNA from 1 species
AAAACAUGUCUUGUUGAUUUAUAAUAUUAAGUCUAAUCUGCUCAAUGAACUUAUUUUAAUAGCCAUAGUAUUUUAACUAUGCAAAGGUAGCAUAAUAAUUUGUCUUUUAAUUGAAGGCUUGAAUGAAUGAUUGGAUGAGGGAUAAACUUUCUUAAUCUAAAAUAUUUUGAAUUUAAUUUUUAAGUAAAAAAGCUUAAUUUUAGUUGUGGGACGAGAAGACCCUAUAGAAUUUUAUUAAUAUUUUUAUUUUUAUUUUUAGGGAAAAGAUUAAUUAAUAGGAAUUAAAAUAUUAAUUUAAUUGGGGUGAUUGUGGAAUUUAAUAAACUUCCAUUAUUAAUUAUUUCAAUAGUUAUUGUGUUUUUGAUCCUUUAUUAUGGAUAAAAAGAUUAAAUUACCUUAGGGAUAACAGCGUAAUUUCUUUGGAGAGUUCUUAUCGAUGAAGGAGUUUGCGACCUCGAUGUUGGAUUAAAGUUAAUUAAUAGUGCAGAAGCUAUUUAAUUGGGUCUGUUCGACCUUUAAAUCUUUACAUGAUCUGAGUUC